GGCCCUGCUCUUGCUGUGAUCCUCCAGACCCUUACUCAGCAGCAGGCUCACUUGGCCGCAGUCUAGCAGUAGAUGUUCGAGAGAAUGCUAUCGAUGUUUCAGACUAUUCAGGACAGACAGGAUACUCUACAGCAGCAGCUUCUGGCAGACCGCCAAGUAAGAAGUGUAGAACAAUUAGCUCAUAAGGACCGCCAUUGUAUAACCAUUCAUCAACAGAUGCAGCUUCCCAAAUUGGGUAAAAAUGCAAUCCGAUCGCCGCAGAAGUAGGAAUAAUAGCACCAGAGAUAAUAUUGUUUCCAUAAAGUAAAGAACCAGAAACAGGCUCACGAAUACCAUCAAUAUCUACUGGAGGAGCAGCGAUGAAGGCGAUAAUAUAUACGGAAGUUGUGGUCAAUAAGGUAGGGAUCAUCAAAACACCAAACCAUCCAAUGUAAAGACGGUUUUCGGUGCUAGUUAUCUAGUUGCAGAAGCGACCCCACAGGCUUGUACUUUCGCGUCUCUCUAAAAUUGCAGUCAUGGUAAGGUCUUGGUUUAUUCAAAUUGCAAGGACUGGGCUGAGAACAGGGCCUUCAUGACUCUCAUGCUUUAGCAUACCGGUGUUCCAAUUCCCCUAGUUCAAUCAGCACCGCCUCCACCUCUUCAGGCUAUUGUUGUGCCAGCCAUUCAGGCAGGACCUCCUCUUCCUACAGUUGGUCCUUCUUCCUCUCCGCUCCGACCAAUCACCCUGGUUUUCUCGUCGUCGGUCAUCAGCUUCGUCAGCACUCAGCCGCCAGUGCCCCCAGCUCCUGCUGUUACCACUACUGUUGUGGCGGUAUCUGUGACCUCUUCAGCUCCGGCAGCUCCUGCAGCAUAGCCUCCGUCCGAGUCAGUACCAGCUCCAGCUUCUAUGGCAGAUCCUGGAUCUGAGACUGACUCUGACCCGCAGCUGGCAUUCGCUCUUCUGCCACGACCACGACCGGAUGCGCCCCCGCCACCUCCUUCCUCUUCUGGUGUGUAGGUUUGAGUUCCCUUUUGGUGUUUGACGCCAAAGGGGGAGAGAUAUGUGAGUUGUGAGAGCUAGGGGAGUUAGGGAGUUAGUAGAGAGUCAUUUUGAUUUAAUAUAUGUGCUCGUUACUCUCUGUACUAGCUCCACUUUUGUAUGAUGAUUUUGGCUCACAAACUCUAUUAUAUACUCUCAAUGCUUAGGUUGACUACGUGUGCAUUAUGUUUUCACAUUAUAUGUUAUCACCAGUCUUCUAGUUCUUGUUCAUCGAUUUGAUUUCACUUUUAUAUGAACAAAACUUACGAUGUGUAUGCGCUCAUUCCUAUUACUAUGUUACACACUCUUUCUGUCAAAGACUAUUGAGUACAACUAACCAUCUUUUCUAUUGACAGAAAUUUCAAAAACAAACUACUCUCACAAACCUUGUAGGGUUAUCAUCAAUCACCAAAAAGAGGGAGAUUGAAAGCAUCUAGGCCCCUCACUACAGGAAACGCAUAAAUUUUCAUGGGCCAAAAACCCACGAAAAUAAGGGUAAACCGACGAAAAAAGUCUAUUUUUGUCGGCAUGCCGACGAAAAUAGCCGCCGAAAAUAAAUUCGACGAAAAUGCACAACUAGGCUUAAGCCAGCUUCGAGCUUCGGAAACCCCAUGCUUCUAGACAUCUCCCGGCAGACGGACAAUUCUUUAUUGUCUGGGAGGCAGUAUAGGAAAUCCUCUUCGUCCGUCCCAUUGAAUACUAGUGCCCCCUUCGGAUAUUUUAAUUCUUUGGCAUAGUGGUUAGCUUCAAAAACUUCUUCUUCCGAUAACUUUUUCCCUGAAGCAUGACGCACAAUAUAAUCGUAUAUUUUGGAAGAUGCUUCGGGGACAGCAGUAUCAAUUUCUUCGACCAAAAUAGGCUCUAACAUUUUUAUUUCUUUAGUCGCCUUUUCAAUUCUUGCUUCUUCUGCUUCCAAAGGUAUUACCUUGGUUGGUUCUGAAGGCUCAGUUUCAACUACAGUCUGUUGCUUUGGAGCCUUAGCAACGGAUACUUCCACAGGCGCCUCUGAAGUUUCAGCAGUCUUCUUUGGAGUUGUGCUUGGAAGUUUAAUUGUCUCCAAAACAUCCAACACAUUGACCAUUCUUUUUUCUUUUUGGGGUCACUGUUGGCCCCUUUUUUCUUGCUACUUCAAUUUCUACUGAAGGACUUAAAAUUUCUGAUAUUUUUGCUCCCUCAGUUGAUGCUUUUGCUUCUUCCAUCUUUUCUGUCGAUGGUGCUUCACCAUCUCUUUGGUUUCUGGUAACAGAAUCUUUGGUUCAUCCAAUUCCUUUGUUGUUGGCGCUUCGGCCAUUCCUGCGACUUCUGGCAGCAGGGUUGGCUCUUCAGCCUCGGUGGCCGGAGAAGUCUCUCCGGUGAAUUCAGGCACCGUGGCUGGUUCAAUAUAGCAUGGCCGAUGUGUGAGAACUUUUAUCCUCUUUCUCUUCGGUGCUGGCUCACUAGGAGCAGCUGCAGCUUUUUCUUUCGCAGAAGUUGUGCCUUUUCUUUUUUGCCCUCGUAUUGGAUAGCGAUAGUCGGGGUAGACGAACCCGAUUGCAUCAAAUACCCGGUUGAGUCUUUUCCUUUUUCGGCCUCCGAAGGCCGCUUACAAAGCAGUAUCUUCGGCCUUCGAGUAUGCCCCAAGCAAUUCAUCACUUACAGUCUCAAUGCUCUUUAACCAAUCAUCAUCUGGUUCAACGAAUUUGUCUCCAUACUUGAAUGUGUACCUUAGCCGGACUAGCCAACCUUCGUCAGUUUCUUUAAUAGUUUCUUUCGGCAUUUCCCAAUUAUCCGCAAGAGGCCACACUCUGAAGGCAAUAUGUUCUUGUGUUAAAUCCCUCGUCCCAAUAAAAGAGCAAACAACUCCGAAGGCUCUCUGGCAUUCUUCGGCUGCUUCAUUCAUUUCCACCUUCGGCCUUCGCAGGCUGAAGCGUUGCCAGAUGGGAUGCAUAAUGAUCUUCUUUACAUCUUCUCGAGAUUUCAAGUCAUUUUUCACGUAAAACCAUUCCGUCAUCCAGUCGCCAGGCCACCUCUUGCGAAAGGUCGGCACUGGGCAGCUUGACCCAGAACGAGAGCCGAAGCUAUAACAGCCAAAGUUGUUGUGAUAUUGUUCCUUACCCCAGGGUUUUGUCUCGUAUAACAAUUCGUGUAUAUUGUAGAAGCUCUUUGCAUCAGGUUCCAAGCCUUGGCUCCUCACAGCCCACACGAAAAUAUUCAUCCUUAUGAUCGCUUCGGGGAUAAGUUGGUGAAGGUGGAUUUCAAAUAUCUUCAGCACCUCCACAACAAAACGGCUCAGGGGAAAUCGUAGUCCAGCUUUCAAGAAGCUUCGAAAUACUACAACUUCAUUUUCCUCAGGAGUUGGGCAAGUCUUCUCUCCCUCGUCGGCCCUUACAAUAGACAAAUCCCGGAAAUAUCUUCCCCUCAUGUUGGCAAGAUGACUUUCUUUAAUACUUGAUUUGCCGAAAACCGCAUGGCUUCGUCGCCAAGGUCGAUCUUCGGAGUCUUCGCCACCACUAUCCGCAUCAUAGCUGUCGCUAUCACCAGUAUCUUCAGAUAAACCUUCCAAAAUUUCUUUAGUGAUCUUCUCUGUAUUAGUCUUCGACAUAGAUUGAAGAAAACCCAGAUGCAUCUCUUCAGAAAGACUCAGCUUCAUUUCGGCAACAACCUUCUUCUCCUCAGACAUCUCUUCGGAAUUCUUGCCUCUCGCUUCCGAAGCUUAAUACUAGGGAGGCAACAAAAUAUUUGUGGCCAGAAAAUUAUUUGAGCAGGCAAAACAGAUGGCAAGGGAGCGUGCCGAAUAAAUUGUGGCGAGCCCGUAUUUACAAACCCAUUAUGUCGGAGACUGGAGGGCCCCAUUUGCCAAUGACUGUUGCUAUUCUAGCAAAAGGAAGGUGUUUUUUCGGACCUUCGGCUUAUAGCCUUCGUCCAUUUCGCAAUCUGAAUUCAUCAUUCUGACAAAUUAAUAUUGCGAGGGGCUACUGUUGGGGGCCUUCGGCUUCCGAAGGUCCUCAAAAACAUGUUUUAACAAUGUUUCUGGAGUAAAGUAUGUUAACAGGUACCUUCGGAUUCGGAUCAGAGCCACGGUACGAAGAAGCACAAAGGUUGGCGCAGAGCCGAAGCUGUGUGUAGAAGAGCUUCGGAGUAGCGGUGGAAAAGGAAACCGACUUAAAGAUGAAAAACCAGAUUAGACCUCGAAGAGUUAUCAUAGAGUUAUUGAUAAAUGUAAAGGGCAUUAUUGUAAUUUUCCAUGGGCUGCGACCCGUGCCUAUAAAUAGGUGAACAGUAUCCCCGUACUGUUCACGCUGAUUCGACAUUGGCUUUGGCAUCACACUUGUGCUUCUACCUUCUUUACGAGCUGAAGGUACACUUAUAAUUUAAUAUUAUCUUUAUCUUUCCAUCAUAAUAAAAUGGAAAUGAUUCGACAACAUUAAACAACUGUUUAUGUUAUCUUCAUGUUUCAUAUGAUCCUUUCUUCAUUAUUAUAUUUUAUGCUGAUGAAGGUAUGUCCUUCAUAACCUUCGCCCGAAAAUCAUUAUAUCCUUAAGGAAAUAAUGCUUAGAAGGACGAAGGAUAUUAAUAUUUAACAUUUUGUGUUGCCUUGUUCUUGAUCCAUAGCAUUUGAGAACAAGUCACCAACAAAUACAGAAUUCACAAACCACAUCCACAAUCAAUACCAUAAUUGUUUCAAACCACAAUCACAUCCAUAAUAAAGUCCAUACAUAGUCCAUAGACAAACUCACUCAUGGCAAGUCUCACUCCUGCGGGCUGUGGGAGUUUUGGCCACUCCCUCCUCCGCCACCAGGAAGGUGGCCACUCCCUCCGGAACCAUGGACGAGGUAGUCUUGGACGUUGACAGCACCCUCCGAUCCCUGAGCAUGUGACACUGAACCCUGCAAUUCAUCAAUCAUUCAAAUAAGGUUGUGUUUUGCUAUCCAUAUACCUAUACAUUGCUAUGUUUGGUCACUAUUUGCAUAAAACUAAACAUGGAACGUCACCUGUGAUCCAUUGUGCUGAGGAGGCUGUGCAUGCAUCCAUGGGUAAUGUUGUGCUGGCCACCCCUGGGGUGGUGGCACCCACCCCGGCGGUGGCGGUGCCAUCCACGCUUGAAGUGGCUGAGAGCCCGGCAGUGGCUGGGAGACCGGUGGCACCCAUCCCGGGGUUGGCUGCGAUCCCUGGGGUGGUGGAGCCGUCCAAGUGCCUGGAGGUGCCUGCGUCCACCCAACACCGGUCCACAGUGGCUGCGACGCUGGAGCUAGCUGAGAUCCCUGGAGUGGUGGCGUAAAUGGCUGCAACUCUGGAGCUUGUCCUGGCCACUGUCCCCAUCCUUGUGCCUGCGAGCCAUUUUUUAUAAUAAAAAAGAGUUGCUAUGGAAUUGAAGUGUUCAGAUAGUGUUACCUGGGGAGGGCAAAAAGCGGGCAAGUUCAUAUCAGGGCCGAGUCGAGAAGUCAUUUCCUGCAAAUGGAUGAAACGUUAGAAUCGCAACAUUAUACUUUGAAUUCAAUAACACGUGAUGAGAUAGAUGAAUUACCUGAAAAUAAGAAGCCAUAUACUGCGUCAGCUGUCCGACCUGCUCCUGCGCUGCUCGAGCUUGCUGCUGUGCUGCUCGAGCCUGCUCCUGUGCUGCUCGAGUCUCCUCCUCCACCUAAGCCUCUCGAGCAGACCUAGAGGAGCGAGAACUCCCUUGACCUAUUGUCCUGUUAUACUCCACAACGCCGGUGCCAAAGGCAAACCUGCAUGAUACACAUAGUUGAGCCAUUAAGUGGACAUAUUCUUGUUAAUGAAAUUGUCGAAUCAAACACAAACACCUCACCUGCCAUGCUUUCUACCCCCACCACUGUGGUACAACGCCGAGGCAUCUAAGUCCGAAUGCAUCCAGUCGAAGUCAGGCCCAUGGCGUUGAAUCAUUUCCUCCCCAUAUGCAUUCUGCAAAGAAAGUUAGAGUUGGAGUUAGACACAAAACAUGCAAUUUAAUUCAUAAAUACAAACUUGUUUACCAUUUUCUCCCUUGCCGCCUCGCUGCAUAGCACAUCAGGGUUCACCGGAUCAGGGCCACGGUGACCACGAACGUAAACCUCCAUAAAACUUGGAGCAACUACACUUUCAGCUUCCUGCAUGAAAAAGAAGAGUUAAACCAUAGAAUUUUCAUAGAUGUAACAUACAAGUUUGAUUUACAUACUUACCAUGCGGCGUGCGGUACCAAGGUGUCCAUCGGCGCCGUACCUGUGCCCCAGUCCUUCAGUGCCACGGUUGGCACGGUGCUUCUGGGACUCUGCAAUCCACUUAGGCGACGCCCAUCUCUUAGCCAACCACCUCCAGGCUUCCAUGUCCUUCGCAAGCCAAUCCACAACGCUCUCCAGGUACUACUCCUCUGUGAGGUAGAUCUCAUUGGCCCCUUUUAUCGAUGUUUCAGACUAUUCAGGACAGACAGGAUACUCUACAGCAGCAGCUUCUGGCAGACCGCCAAGUAAGAAGUGUAGAACAAUUAGCUCAUAAGGACCGCCAUUGUAUAACCAUUCAUCAACAGAUGCAGCUUCCCAAAUUGGGUAAAAAUGCAAUCCGAUCGCCGCAGAAGUAGGAAUAAUAGCACCAGAGAUAAUAUUGUUUCCAUAAAGUAAAGAACCAGAAACAGGCUCACGAAUACCAUCAAUAUCUACUGGAGGAGCAGCGAUGAAGGCGAUAAUAUAUACGGAAGUUGUGGUCAAUAAGGUAGGGAUCAUCAAAACACCAAACCAUCCAAUGUAAAGACGGUUUUCGGUGCUAGUUAUCUAGUUGCAGAAGCGACCCCACAGGCUUGUACUUUCGCGUCUCUCUAAAAUUGCAGUCAUGGUAAGGUCUUGGUUUAUUCAAAUUGCAAGGACUGGGCUGAGAACAGGGCCUUCAUGACUCUCAUGCUUUAGCAUACCGGUGUUCCAAUUCCCCUAGUUCAAUCAGCACCGCCUCCACCUCUUCAGGCUGUUGUUGUGCCAGCCAUUCAGGCAGGACCUCCUCUUCCUACAGUUGGUCCUUCUUCCUCUCCGCUCCGACCGAUCACCCUGGUUUUCUCGUCGUCGGUCAUCAGCUUCGUCAGCACUCAACCGCCAGUGCCCCCAGCUCCUGCUGUUACCACUACUGUUGUGGCGGUAUCUGUGACCUCUUCAGCUCCGGCAGCUCCUGCAGCAUAGCCUCCGUCCGAGUCAGUACCAGCUCCAGCUUCUAUGGCAGAUCCUGGAUCUGAGACUGACUCUGACCCGUAGCUGGCAUUCGCUCUUCUGCCACGACCACGACCGGAUGCGCCCCCGCCACCUCCUUCCUCUUCUGGUGUGUAGGUUUGAGUUCCCUUUUGGUGUUUGACGCCAAAGGGGGAGAGAUAUGUGAGUUGUGAGAGCUAGGGGGAGUUAGGGAGUUAGUAGAGAGUCAUUUUGAUGUAAUAUAUGUGCUCGUUACUCUCUGUACUAGCUCCACUUUUGUAUGAUGAUUUUGGCUCACAAACUCUAUUAUAUACUCUCAAUGCUUAGGUUGACUACGUGUGCAUUAUGUUUUCACAUUAUAUGUUAUCACCAGUCUUCUAGUUCUUGUUCAUCGAUUUGAUUUCACUUUUAUAUGAACAAGAAACUUACGAUGUGUAUGCGCUCAUUCCUAUUACUAUGUUACACACUCUUUCUGUCAAAGACUAUUGAGUACAACUAACCAUCUUUUCUAUUGACAGAAAUUUCAAAAACAAACUACUCUCACAAACCUUGUAGGGUUAUCAUCAAUCACCAAAAAGAGGGAGAUUGAAAGCAUCUAGGCCCCUCACUACAGGAAACGCAUAAAUUUUCAUGGGCCAAAAACCCACGAAAAUAAGGGUAAACCGACGAAAAAAGUCUAUUUUUGUCGGCAUGCCGACGAAAAUAGCCGCCGAAAAUAAAUUCGACGAAAAUGCACAACUAGGCUUAAGCCAGCUUCGAGCUUCGGAAACCCCAUGCUUCUAGACAUCUCCCGGCAGACGGACAAUUCUUUAUUGUCUGGGAGGCAGUAUAGGAAAUCCUCUUCGUCCGUCCCAUUGAAUACUAGUGCCCCCUUCGGAUAUUUUAAUUCUUUGGCAUAGUGAUUAGCUUCAAAAACUUCUUCUUCCAAUAACUUUUUCCCUGAAGCAUGACGCACAAUAUAAUCGUAUAUUUUGGAAGAUGCUUCGGGGACAGCAGUAUCAAUUUCUUCGACCAAAAUAGGCUCUAACAUUUUUAUUUCUUUAGUCGCCUUUUCAAUUCUUGCUUCUUCUGCUUCCAAAGGUAUUACCUUGGUUGGUUCUGAAGGCUCAGUUUCAACUACAGUCUGUUGCUUUGGAGCCUUAGCAACGGAUACUUCCACAGGCGCCUCUGAAGUUUCAGCAGUCUUCUUUGGAGUUGUGCUUGGAAGUUUAAUUGUCUCCAAAACAUCCAACACAUUGACCAUUCUUUUUUCUUUUUGGGGUCACUGUUGGCCCCUUUUUUCUUGCUACUUCAAUUUCUACUGAAGGACUUAAAAUUUCUGAUAUUUUUGCUCCCUCAGUUGAUGCUUUUGCUUCUUCCAUCUUUUCUGUCGAUGGUGCUUCACCAUCUCUUUGGUUUCUGGUAACAGAAUCUUUGGUUCAUCCAAUUCCUUUGUUGUUGGCGCUUCGGCCAUUCCUGCGACUUCUGGCAGCAGGGUUGGCUCUUCAGCCUCGGUGGCCGGAGAAGUCUCUCCGGUGAAUUCAGGCACCGUGGCUGGUUCAAUAUAGCAUGGCCGAUGUGUGAGAACUUUUAUCCUCUUUCUCUUCGGUGCUGGCUCACUAGGAGCAGCUGCAGCUUUUUCUUUCGCAGAAGUUGUGCCUUUUCUUUUUUGCCCUCGUAUUGGAUAGCGAUAGUCGGGGUAGACGAACCCGAUUGCAUCAAAUACCCGGUUGAGUCUUUUCCUUUUUCGGCCUCCGAAGGCCGCUUACAAAGCAGUAUCUUCGGCCUUCGAGUAUGCCCCAAGCAAUUCAUCACUUACAGUCUCAAUGCUCUUUAACCAAUCAUCAUCUGGUUCAACGAAUUUGUCUCCAUACUUGAAUGUGUACCUUAGCCGGACUAGCCAACCUUCGUCAGUUUCUUUAAUAGUUUCUUUCGGCAUUUCCCAAUUAUCCGCAAGAGGCCACACUCUGAAGGCAAUAUGUUCUUGUGUUAAAUCCCUCGUCCCAAUAAAAGAGCAAACAACUCCGAAGGCUCUCUGGCAUUCUUCGGCUGCUUCAUUCAUUUCCACCUUCGGCCUUCGCAGGCUGAAGCGUUGCCAGAUGGGAUGCAUAAUGAUCUUCUUUACAUCUUCUCGAGAUUUCAAGUCAUUUUUCACGUAAAACCAUUCCGUCAUCCAGUCGCCAGGCCACCUCUUGCGAAAGGUCGGCACUGGGCAGCUUGACCCAGAACGAGAGCCGAAGCUAUAACAGCCAAAGUUGUUGUGAUAUUGUUCCUUACCCCAGGGUUUUGUCUCGUAUAACAAUUCGUGUAUAUUGUAGAAGCUCUUUGCAUCAGGUUCCAAGCCUUGGCUCCUCACAGCCCACACGAAAAUAUUCAUCCUUAUGAUCGCUUCGGGGAUAAGUUGGUGAAGGUGGAUUUCAAAUAUCUUCAGCACCUCCACAACAAAACGGCUCAGGGGAAAUCGUAGUCCAGCUUUCAAGAAGCUUCGAAAUACUACAACUUCAUUUUCCUCAGGAGUUGGGCAAGUCUUCUCUCCCUCGUCGGCCCUUACAAUAGACAAAUCCCGGAAAUAUCUUCCCCUCAUGUUGGCAAGAUGACUUUCUUUAAUACUUGAUUUGCCGAAAACCGCAUGGCUUCGUCGCCAAGGUCGAUCUUCGGAGUCUUCGCCACCACUAUCCGCAUCAUAGCUGUCGCUAUCACCAGUAUCUUCAGAUAAACCUUCCAAAAUUUCUUUAGUGAUCUUCUCUGUAUUAGUCUUCGACAUAGAUUGAAGAAAACCCAGAUGCAUCUCUUCAGAAAGACUCAGCUUCAUUUCGGCAACAACCUUCUUCUCCUCAGACAUCUCUUCGGAAUUCUUGCCUCUCGCUUCCGAAGCUUAAUACUAGGGAGGCAACAAAAUAUUUGUGGCCAGAAAAUUAUUUGAGCAGGCAAAACAGAUGGCAAGGGAGUGUGCCGAAUAAAUUGUGGCGAGCCCGUAUUUACAAACCCAUUAUGUCGGAGACUGGAGGGCCCCAUUUGCCAAUGACUGUUGCUAUUCUAGCAAAAGGAAGGUGUUUUUUCGGACCUUCGGCUUAUAGCCUUCGUCCAUUUCGCAAUCUGAAUUCAUCAUUCUGACAAAUUAAUAUUGCGAGGGGCUACUGUUGGGGGCCUUCGGCUUCCGAAGGUCCUCAAAAACAUGUUUUAACAAUGUUUCUGGAGUAAAGUACGUUAACAGGUACCUUCGGAUUCGGAUCAGAGCCACGGUACGAAGAAGCACAAAGGUUGGCGCAGAGCCGAAGCUGUGUGUAGAAGAGCUUCAGAGUAGCGGUGGAAAAGGAAACCGACUUAAAGAUGAAAAACCAGAUUAGACCUCGAAGAGUUAUCAUAGAGUUAUUGAUAAAUGUAAAGGGCAUUAUUGUAAUUUUCCAUGGGCUGCGACCCGUGCCUAUAAAUAGGUGAACAGUAUCCCCGUACUGUUCACGCUGAUUCGACAUUGGCUUUGGCAUCACACUUGUGCUUCUACCUUCUUUACGAGCUGAAGGUACACUUAUAAUUUAAUAUUAUCUUUAUCUUUCCAUCAUAAUAAAAUGGAAAUGAUUCGACAACAUUAAACAACUGUUUAUGUUAUCUUCAUGUUUCAUAUGAUCCUUUCUUCAUUAUUAUAUUUUAUGCUGAUGAAGGUAUGUCCUUCAUAACCUUCGCCCGAAAAUCAUUAUAUCCUUAAGGAAAUAAUGCUUAGAAGGACGAAGGAUAUUAAUAUUUAACAUUUUGUGUUGCCUUGUUCUUGAUCCAUAGCAUUUGAGAACAAGUCACCAACAAAUACAGAAUUCACAAACCACAUCCACAAUCAAUACCAUAAUUGUUUCAAACCACAAUCACAUCCAUAAUAAAGUCCAUACAUAGUCCAUAGACAAACUCACUCAUGGCAAGUCUCACUCCUGCGGGCUGUGGGAGUUUUGGCCACUCCCUCCUCCGCCACCAGGAAGGUGGCCACUCCCUCCGGAACCAUGGACGAGGUAGUCUUGGACGUUGACAGCACCCUCCGAUCCCUGAGCAUGUGACACUGAACCCUGCAAUUCAUCAAUCAUUCAAAUAAGGUUGUGUUUUGCUAUCCAUAUACCUAUACAUUGCUAUGUUUGGUCACUAUUUGCAUAAAACUAAACAUGGAACGUCACCUGUGAUCCAUUGUGCUGAGGAGGCUGUGCAUGCAUCCAUGGGUAAUGUUGUGCUGGCCACCCCUGGGGUGGUGGCACCCACCCCGGCGGUGGCGGUGCCAUCCACGCUUGAAGUGGCUGAGAGCCCGGCAGUGGCUGGGAGACCGGUGGCACCCAUCCCGGGGUUGGCUGCGAUCCCUGGGGUGGUGGAGCCGUCCAAGUGCCUGGAGGUGCCUGCGUCCACCCAACACCGGUCCACAGUGGCUGCGACGCUGGAGCUAGCUGAGAUCCCUGGAGUGGUGGCGUAAAUGGCUGCAACUCUGGAGCUUGUCCUGGCCACUGUCCCCAUCCUUGUGCCUACGAGCCAUUUUUUAUAAUAAAAAAGAGUUGCUAUGGAAUUGAAGUGUUCAGAUAGUGUUACCUGGGGAGGGCAAAAAGCGGGCAAGUUCAUAUCAGGGCCGAGUCGAGAAGUCAUUUCCUGCAAAUGGAUGAAACGUUAGAAUCGCAACAUUAUACUUUGAAUUCAAUAACACGUGAUGAGAUAGAUGAAUUACCUGAAAAUAAGAAGCCAUAUACUGCGUCAGCUGUCCGACCUGCUCCUGCGCUGCUCGAGCUUGCUGCUGUGCUGCUCGAGCCUGCUCCUGUGCUGCUUGAGUCUCCUCCUCCACCUAAGCCUCUCGAGCAGACCUAGAGGAGCGAGAACUCCCUUGACCUAUUGUCCUGUUAUACUCCACAACGCCGGUGCCAAAGGCAAACCUGCAUGAUACACAUAGUUGAGCCAUUAAGUGGACAUAUUCUUGUUAAUGAAAUUGUCGAAUCAAACACAAACACCUCACCUGCCAUGCUUUCUACCCCCACCACUAUGGUACAACGCCGAGGCAUCUAAGUCCGAAUGCAUCCAGUCGAAGUCAGGCCCAUGGCGUUGAGUCAUUUCCUCCCCAUAUGCAUUCUGCAAAGAAAGUUAGAGUUGGAGUUAGACACAAAACAUGCAAUUUAAUUCAUAAAUACAAACUUGUUUACCAUUUUCUCCCUUGCCGCCUCGCUGCAUAGCACAUCAGGGUUCACCGGAUCAGGGCCACGGUGACCACGAACGUAAACCUCCAUAAAACUUGGAGCAACUACACUUUCAGCUUCCUGCAUGAAAAAGAAGAGUUAAACCAUAGAAUUUUCAUAGAUGUAACAUACAAGUUUGAUUUACAUACUUACCAUGCGGCGUGCGGUACCAAGGUGUCCAUCGGCGCCGUACCUGUGCCCCGGUCCUUCAGUGCCACGGUUGGCACGGUGCUUCUGGGACUCUGCAAUCCACUUAGGCGACGCCCAUCUCUUAGCCAACCACCUCCAGGCUUCCAUGUCCUUCGCAAGCCAAUCCACAACGCUCUCCAGGUACUACUCCUCUGUGAGGUAGAUCUCAUUGGCCCCUUUUAUCGAUGUUUCAGACUAUUCAGGACAGACAGGAUACUCUACAGCAGCAGCUUCUGGCAGACCGCCAAGUAAGAAGUGUAGAACAAUUAGCUCAUAAGGACCGCCAUUGUAUAACCAUUCAUCAACAGAUGCAGCUUCCCAAAUUGGGUAAAAAUGCAAUCCGAUCGCCGCAGAAGUAGGAAUAAUAGCAUCAGAGAUAAUAUUGUUUCCAUAAAGUAAAGAACCAGAAACAGGCUCACGAAUACCAUCAAUAUCUACUGGAGGAGCAGCGAUGAAGGCGAUAAUAUAUACGGAAGUUGUGGUCAAUAAGGUAGGGAUCAUCAAAACACCAAACCAUCCAAUGUAAAGACGGUUUUCGGUGCUAGUUAUCCAGUUGCAGAAGCGACCCCACAGGCUUGUACUUUCGCGUCUCUCUAAAAUUGCAGUCAUGGUAAGGUCUUGGUUUAUUCAAAUUGCAAGGACUGGGCUGAGAACAGGGCCUUCAUGACUCUCAUGCUUUAGCAUACCGGUGUUCCAAUUCCCCUAGUUCAAUCAGCACC
rnacentral:lncRNA from 1 species